AGGAUGAACGCUGGCGGUCUGCUUAACACAUGCAAGUCGAACGGAGUAGCAAUACUUAGUAGCGGACGGGUGAGUAACGCGUGAGAAUCUACCUUCAGGACGGAGACAACAGUUGGAAACGACUGCUAACCCCCGAUGUACCGAAAGGGCAAAUAUUUAUAGCCUGAAGAAGAGCUCGCGUCCGAUUAGCUAGUUGGAGAGGUAAAAGCUCACCAAGGCGACGAUCGGUAGCUGGUCUGAGAGGACGAUCAGCCACACUGGGACUGAGACACGGCCCAGACUCCUACGGGAGGCAGCAGUGGGGAAUUUUCCGCAAUGGGCGAAAGCCUGACGGAGCAAGACCGCGUGGGGGAAGAAGGCUCUUGGGUUGUAAACCCCCUUUUCUCUGGGAAGAACGCAAUGACGGUACCAGAGGAAUCAGCAUCGGCUAACUCCGUGCCAGCAGCCGC
rnacentral:rRNA from 1 species